AGGAAGUGAGACAGGUGGUGCAUGGUUGUCGUCAGCUCGUGUCGUGAGAUGUUGGGUUAAGUCCCGCAACGAGCGCAACCCCUAUUGCCAGUUACCAGCGGGUUAUGCCGGGGGACUCUGGUGAGACUGCCGGGGACAACUCGGAGGAAGGUGGGGAUGACGUCAAAUCAUCAUGCCCCUUAUGUCUUGGGCUACACACGUGCUACAAUGGCUGAAACAAAGGGAUGCAACAACGUAAGUUGAAGCGGAUCUCACAAAAACAGUCCCAGUUCGGAUUGUGGGCUGCAACCCGCCCACAUGAAGUCGGAGUUGCUAGUAAUCGCGGAUCAGCAUGCCGCGGUGAAUACGUUCCCAGGCCUU
rnacentral:rRNA from 1 species